rnacentral:lncRNA from 1 species
AUAUUCUCUUUAACUGCCGAUUCCGCCGAUAUACAAAUCCGCCCGCAGAAAUGCAAUAUUCCUUGAUCAUCCACAAGAAAAUCACCGCUGUAACCAUCAACCAUCUUAGCUCGAAUCUUUUGCAAUUCCACAUCGUGAACUUGCUUUUCUCAAGGGUGCAUCAGGAGCUACCACUUCCAACUCCAACCGCUUCAUCUGCUCAAUCAACGGCGGUUGAGUGACUACAAGCAUCGCUAAAUUUUUCGUCGAUUUCCGACUUAGCGCAUCC